rnacentral:rRNA from 1 species
GAUGCAAGCGUUAUCCGGAUUCAUUGGGUUUAAAGGGUGCGCAGGCGGAUUGGUAAGUCAGGGGUGAAAUCCCACAGCUCAACUGUGGAACUGCCUUUGAUACUGUCAGUCUAGAGUAUAGUUGAAGUUGGCGGAAUGUGUCAUGUAGCGGUGAAAUGCUUAGAUAUGACACAGAACACCGAUCGCGAAGGCAGCUAGCUAAGCUAUAACUGACGCUCAUGCACGAAAGCGUGGGGAUCAAACAGGAUUAGAUACCCUGGUAGUCCACGCUGUAAACGAUGAUUACUCGAUGUUGGCGAUACACAGUCAGCGUCUGAGCGAAAGCAAUAAGUAAUCCACCUGGGGAGUACGAUCGCAAGAUUGAAACUCAAAGGAAUUGACGGGGGCCCGCACAAGCGGAGGAGCAUGUGGUUUAAUUCGAUGAUACGCGAGGAACCUUACCUGGGCUCGAACGUAAGAUGACUGUAGGUGAAAGCUUACAUCUCUUCGGAGCAUUUUACGAGGUGCUGCAUGGUUGUCGUCAGCUCGUGCCGUGAGGUGUCGGGUUAAGUCCCAUAACGAGCGCAACCCCUACCUUUAGUUGCCAUCAGGUCAUGCUGGGGACUCUAAAGGAACUGCCUACGCAAGUAGUGAGGAAGGCGGGGAUGACGUCAAAUCAGCACGGCCCUUACGUCCAGGGCUACACACGCGCUACAAUGGCCGAUACAGAGGGCAGCUACCUGGUGACAGGAUGCAAAUCUCCAAAGUCGGUCUCAGUUCGGAUCGGAGUCUGCAACCCGACUCCGUGAAGUUGGAUUCGCUAGUAAUCGCGCAUCAGCCAUGGCGCGGUGAAUACGUUCCCGGGCCUUGCACACACCGCCCGU